AGUCCUGUAGCUUAGUGGUUAAAGCACUCACCUCCCAAGUGAGAGACCUGGGUUCAAUUCCUGGCAGGGCAA